rnacentral:rRNA from 1 species
CUUGUGUAUCAGGGCUGAUUAAAUUAUAAUUAAGGUUUUAGUUGUCUCGAAUUCAAAAGAGCUAUAUUAAAAUAUAUAUUAAUGUUGAAUAAUUAUUUAUAAUUUUUGUAUAGUAAUGAAACGUUAUUCGUUUUUGAAUAUAUCUAGUUUUCCAAGAAAUUAAUUAAAUUUAGUAGUUGUUAAAUACUUUUAUUAUUGUUUAUUUAGGUGUUAGUAGCUGUCAAUACUUGAAGGGAUGAGCUUUUGAGUAAAUAUCUAUAAGAUUAGUGUAUUUUAAUAAUUUGUAGGAUUAGAAUUUUCCAUCUACAGAAGGAUGUUAUAAUUUAUUAUUAAGUAAUAUGAUUUUUAUUUUUUUUUAGAUUUUUUAUUGGAAUAAUAAUACUAAUUUUUUGUAUUAUGAAAUAAUGAUUAGAUUAGUAUAAUUAAUUGUAUUUUUAGAGUGUUUAUUUAGGUUAUAAAAAGGAACUCGGCAAGUCUAAUUUUCACCUGUUUAAUAAAAACAUGGCCUUUUGAGUAUGAUUUAAGGUCUUCCUG